rnacentral:snRNA from 1 species
CUUAAUUCCAGACGUAUUGGUUC